GCAUUGUAUGACCUACUUAACU
rnacentral:miRNA from 1 species